rnacentral:rRNA from 1 species
CCUACGGGCGGCUGCAGUGGGGAAUAUUGCACAAUGGGCGCAAGCCUGAUGCAGCUAUGCCGCGUGUGUGAAGAAGGCCUUCGGGUUGUAAAGCACUUUCAGCGGGGAGGAAGGCGUUAAGGUUAAUAACCUUGGCGAUUGACGUUACCCGCAGAAGAAGCACCGGCUAACUCCGUGCCAGCAGCCGCGGUAAUACGGAGGGUGCAAGCGUUAAUCGGAAUUACUGGGCGUAAAGCGCACGCAGGCGGUCUGUCAAGUCGGAUGUGAAAUCCCCGGGCUCAACCUGGGAACUGCAUUCGAAACUGGCAGGCUAGAGUCUUGUAGAGGGGGGUAGAAUUCCAGGUGUAGCGGUGAAAUGCGUAGAGAUCUGGAGGAAUACCGGUGGCGAAGGCGGCCCCCUGGACAAAGACUGACGCUCAGGUGCGAAAGCGUGGGGAGCAAACAGGAUUAGAUACCCGAGUAGUC